ACACGACUACAUUAGAUACCCGGGUAGUCCUAGCCGUAAACGAUACUCGCUAGGUGUCGGCCACGGUGCGACCGUUGUCGGUGCCGUAGGGAAGCCGUGAAGCGAGCCACCUGGGAAGUACGGCCGCAAGGCUAGAAACUUAAAGGAAUUGGCGGGGGAGCACCACAACGGGUGGAGCUUGCGGUGUAAUUGGAUUCAACGCCGGAAAUCUUACCGGGACCGACAGCAACAUGAAGGCCAGGCUGAAGACUUUGCCGGAUUAGCUG
rnacentral:rRNA from 1 species